rnacentral:rRNA from 1 species
AAAGCGCACGUAGGCGGCUUUGUAAGUAAGAGGUGAAAGCCCAGAGCUCAACUCUGGAAUUGCCUUUUAGACUGCAUCGCUUGAAUCAUGGAGAGGUCAGUGGAAUUCCGAGUGUAGAGGUGAAAUUCGUAGAUAUUCGGAAGAACACCAGUGGCGAAGGCGGCUGACUGGACAUGUAUUGACGCUGAGGUGCGAAAGCGUGGGGAGCAAACAGGAUUAGAUACCCCAGU